CAGGAGUGUUCUGAGGAGGAAAAGGGGAGCUUCACUAGACAUUGCUCUGUAUAUCUGGCUACCCCCCUGUGGGGAGGAGGACUAGAAACACCUUCAUCAACUCCCUUUUGGAUGGGCUAAUGCAUGUUAGUGCUACUGGCUGCCCCUCUUCUGUGAACAGACUCUUUUGUGCUGAGUUAGAACUCACUUGCACUAACCACCCUGUCAUGCUGAAGGAGGAUGCUUCAGUGCAGAAAGUGCCCAGAGGGGUCAGUGCUGUGUACAAACGUCUGCUUACCUGGAGAGCUGCAAGGUGUGGCAUCCUCCUGCUUUGGUGGAUGGAGCUCAUAUCCUCCAACUGUGAAAUCUGAUUUCACUGUGGAAAAAAGAUAAAAAGCUAUAUGGAAUUAGAUGUAAAGUUUUGUUCUCUAUGUUUUGAAGAGAUGGAUUUGGGGA